rnacentral:rRNA from 1 species
GACGUAGGGGGCAAGCGUUGUCCGGAAUCAUUGGGCGUAAAGAGCGUGUAGGCGGUCCGUUAAGUCGGCUGUGAAAGUCCAGGGCUCAACCCUGGGAUGCCGGCCGAUACUGGCGGACUAGAGUCCGGAAGAGGUGAGUGGAAUUCCUGGUGUAGCGGUGAAAUGCGCAGAUAUCAGGAGGAACACCAAUUGCGAAGGCAGCUCGCUGGGACGUGACUGACGCUGAGACGCGAAAGCGUGGGGAGCAAACAGG